AGAUUGAACGCUGGCGGCAUGCCUUACACAUGCAAGUCGAACGGCAGCACGGGAGCAAUCCUGGUGGCGAGUGGCGAACGGGUGAGUAAUAUAUCGGAACGUGCCCAGUCGUGGGGGAUAACGUAGAGAAAUUUACGCUAAUACCGCAUACGAUCUAAGGAUGAAAGCGGGGGACCUUCGGGCCUCGCGCGAUUGGAGCGGCUGAUAUCAGAUUAGGUUGUUGGUGAGGUAAAAGCUCACCAAGCCGACGAUCUGUAGCUUGGUUUGAGAGAACGACCAGCCACACUGGGACUGAGACACGGCCCAGACCU
rnacentral:rRNA from 1 species